AGCCCAGAGCCUGAAUCAGUGUGUGUGUUAGUGGAAGCGUCUGGAAAGGCGCGCGAUACAGGGUGACAGCCCCGUACACAAAAAUGCACAUGCUGUGAGCUCGAUGAGUAGGGCGGGACACGUGGUAUCCUGUCUGAAUAUGGGGGGACCAUCCUCCAAGGCUAAAUACUCCUGACUGACCGAUAGUGAACCAGUACCGUGAGGGAAAGGCGAAAAGAACCCCGGCGAGGGGAGUGAAAAAGAACCUGAAACCGUGUACGUACAAGCAGUGGGAGCACGCUUAGGCGUGUGACUGCGUACCUUUUGUAUAAUGGGUCAGCGACUUAUAUUCUGUAGCAAGGUUAACCGAAUAGGGGAGCCGAAGGGAAACCGAGUCUUAACUGGGCGUUAAGUUGCAGGGUAUAGACCCGAAACCCGGUGAUCUAGCCAUGGGCAGGUUGAAGGUUGGGUAACACUAACUGGAGGACCGAACCGACUAAUGUUGAAAAAUUAGCGGAUGACUUGUGGCUGGGGGUGAAAGGCCAAUCAAACCGGGAGAUAGCUGGUUCUCCCCGAAAGCUAUUUAGGUAGCGCCUCGUGAAUUCAUCUCCGGGGGUAGAGCACUGUUUCGGCAAGGGGGUCAUCCCGACUUACCAACCCGAUGCAAACUGCGAAUACCGGAGAAUGUUAUCACGGGAGACACACGGCGGGUGCUAACGUCCGUCGUGAAGAGGGAAACAACCCAGACCGCCAGCUAAGGUCCCAAAGUCAUGGUUAAGUGGGAAACGAUGUGGGAAGGCCCAGACAGCCAGGAUGUUGGCUUAGAAGCAGCCAUCAUUUAAAGAAAGCGUAAUAGCUCACUGGUCGAGUCGGCCUGCGCGGAAGAUGUAACGGGGCUAAACCAUGCACCGAAGCUGCGGCAGCGACGCUGAUGCGUUGUUGGGUAGGGGAGCGUUCUGUAAGCCUGCGAAGGUGUGCUGUGAGGCAUGCUGGAGGUAUCAGAAGUGCGAAUGCUGACAUAAGUAACGAUAAAGCGGGUGAAAAGCCCGCUCGCCGGAAGACCAAGGGUUCCUGUCCAACGUUAAUCGGGGCAGGGUGAGUCGACCCCUAAGGCGAGGCCGAAAGGCGUAGUCGAUGGGAAACAGGUUAAUAUUCCUGUACUUGGUGUUACUGCGAAGGGGGGACGGAGAAGGCUAUGUUGGCCGGGCGACGGUUGUCCCGGUUUAAGCGUGUAGGCUGGUUUUCCAGGCAAAUCCGGAAAAUCAAGGCUGAGGCGUGAUGACGAGGCACUACGGUGCUGAAGCAACAAAUGCCCUGCUUCCAGGAAAAGCCUCUAAGCAUCAGGUAACAUCAAAUCGUACCCCAAACCGACACAGGUGGUCAGGUAGAGAAUACCAAGGCGCUUGAGAGAACUCGGGUGAAGGAACUAGGCAAAAUGGUGCCGUAACUUCGGGAGAAGGCACGCUGAUAUGUAGGUGAAGUCCCUCGCGGAUGGAGCUGAAAUCAGUCGAAGAUACCAGCUGGCUGCAACUGUUUAUUAAAAACACAGCACUGUGCAAACACGAAAGUGGACGUAUACGGUGUGACGCCUGCCCGGUGCCGGAAGGUUAAUUGAUGGGGUUAGCGCAAGCGAAGCUCUUGAUCGAAGCCCCGGUAAACGGCGGCCGUAACUAUAACGGUCCUAAGGUAGCGAAAUUCCUUGUCGGGUAAGUUCCGACCUGCACGAAUGGCGUAAUGAUGGCCAGGCUGUCUCCACCCGAGACUCAGUGAAAUUGAACUCGCUGUGAAGAUGCAGUGUACCCGCGGCAAGACGGAAAGACCCCGUGAACCUUUACUAUAGCUUGACACUGAACAUUGAGCCUUGAUGUGUAGGAUAGGUGGGAGGCUUUGAAGUGUGGACGCCAGUCUGCAUGGAGCCGACCUUGAAAUACCACCCUUUAAUGUUUGAUGUUCUAACGUUGACCCGUAAUCCGGGUUGCGGACAGUGUCUGGUGGGUAGUUUGACUGGGGCGGUCUCCUCCUAAAGAGUAACGGAGGAGCACGAAGGUUGGCUAAUCCUGGUCGGACAUCAGGAGGUUAGUGCAAUGGCAUAAGCCAGCUUGACUGCGAGCGUGACGGCGCGAGCAGGUGCGAAAGCAGGUCAUAGUGAUCCGGUGGUUCUGAAUGGAAGGGCCAUCGCUCAACGGAUAAAAGGUACUCCGGGGAUAACAGGCUGAUACCGCCCAAGAGUUCAUAUCGACGGCGGUGUUUGGCACCUCGAUGUCGGCUCAUCACAUCCUGGGGCUGAAGUAGGUCCCAAGGGUAUGGCUGUUCGCCAUUUAAAGUGGUACGCGAGCUGGGUUUAGAACGUCGUGAGACAGUUCGGUCCCUAUCUGCCGUGGGCGCUGGAGAACUGAGGGGGGCUGCUCCUAGUACGAGAGGACCGGAGUGGACGCAUCACUGGUGUUCGGGUUGUCAUGCCAAUGGCACUGCCCGGUAGCUAAAUGCGGAAGAGAUAAGUGCUGAAAGCAUCUAAGCACGAAACUUGCCCCGAGAUGAGUUCUCCCUGACUCCUUGAGAGUCCUGAAGGAACGUUGAAGACGACGACGUUGAUAGGCCGGGUGUGUAAGCGCAGCGAUGCGUUGAGCUAACCGGUACUAAUGAACCGUGAGG
rnacentral:rRNA from 1 species